UGGCGGACGGGUGAGUAAUGUCUGGGAAACUGCCCGAUGGAGGGGGGAUAACUACUGGAAACGGUAGCUAAUACCGCAUAACGUCGCAAGACCAAAGAGGGGGACCUUCGGGCCUCUUGCCAUCGGAUGUGCCCAGAUGGGAUUAGCUAGUAGGUGGGGUAAAGGCUCACCUAGGCGACGAUCCCUAGCUGGUCUGAGAGGAUGACCAGCCACACUGGAACUGAGACACGGUCCAGACUCCUACGGGAGGCAGCAUG
rnacentral:rRNA from 1 species